AGAGUUUGAUCCUGGCUCAGGACGAACGCUGGCGGCGUGCUUAACACAUGCAAGUCGAACGGGGCCCAACCAGUAGCAAUACUGGGGAAGGUCUAGUGGCGAACGGGUGAGUAACACGUGAGGAACCUGCCCUGAAGAUCGGGAUAAGCCGGGGAAACCUGGUCUAAUACCGAAUAUCUCCGACUGGCCGCAUGACCGGUCGAAGAAAUGGAUUCCGCUUCAGGAGGGCCUCGCGGCCUAUCAGCUUGUUGGUGGGGUAACGGCCUACCAAGGCUCCGACGGGUAGCUGGUCUGAGAGGACGAUCAGCCACACUGGGAUUGAGACACGGCCCAGACUCCUACGGGAGGCAGCAGUGGGGAAUCUUGCGCAAUGGGCGAAAGCCUGACGCAGCAACGCCGCGUGGGGGAUGAAUGCCUUCGGGUUGUAAACCCCUUUCAGCUCCGACGAAGCGCAAGUGACGGUAGGAACAGAAGAAGGACCGGCCAACUACGUGCCAGCAGCCGCGGUAAUACGUAGGGUCCGAGCGUUGUCCGGAUUUAUUGGGCGUAAAGCGCUCGUAGGCGGUUCGGUAAGUCGGGUGUGAAACCUCCAGGCUCAACCUGGUGACGCCACCCGAUACUGCCGUGACUUGAGUUCGGUAGGGGAGCGGGGAAUUCCUGGUGUAGCGGUGAAAUGCGCAGAUAUCAGGAGGAACACCGGUGGCGAAGGCGCCGCUCUGGGCCGAAACUGACGCUGAGGAGCGAAAGCGUGGGGAGCGAACAGGAUUAGAUACCCUGGUAGUCCACGCCGUAAACGUUGGGCACUAGGUGUGGGUCCUAACCAACGGGAUCCGUGCCGUCGCUAACGCAUUAAGUGCCCCGCCUGGGGAGUACGGCCGAAAGGCUAAAACUCAAAGGAAUUGACGGGGGCCCGCACAAGCAGCGGAGCAUGUUGCUUAAUUCGAGGCAACGCGAAGAACCUUACCUGGGUUUGACAUGCUGGGAAAAGCCGCAGAGAUGCGGUGUCCUUCGGGGCCCAGCACAGGUGGUGCAUGGCUGUCGUCAGCUCGUGUCGUGAGAUGUUGGGUUAAGUCCCGCAACGAGCGCAACCCUUGUCCUAUGUUGCCAGCGCGUAAUGGCGGGGACUCGUAGGAGACUGCCGGGGUCAACUCGGAGGAAGGUGGGGACGACGUCAAGUCAUCGUGCCCCUUAUAUCCAGGGCUGCAAACAUGCUACAAUGGCCGGUACAAAGGGCUGCUAUCCCGCGAGGGUGCGCGAAUCCCAAAAAGCCGGUCUCAGUUCGGAUCGGAGUCUGCAACUCGACUCCGUGAAGCCGGAGUUGCUAGUAAUCCCGGAUCAGCAUCGCCGGGGUGAAUACGUUCCCGGGCCUUGUACACACCGCCCGUCACACCACGAAAGUCGGCAACACCCGAAGCCGGUGGCCUAACCCUUGUGGAGGGAGCCGUCGAAGGUGGGGUCGGUGAUUGGGGUGAAGUCGUAACAAGGUA
rnacentral:rRNA from 1 species